rnacentral:rRNA from 1 species
UACGUAGGGGGCAGGCGUUGUCCGGAUUUACUGGGCGUAAAGAGCGUGUAGGCGGCCAAGCAGGUCCGUUGUGAAAACUGGAGGCUUAACCUCCAGACGUCGAUGGAAACCGUAUGGCUAGAGUCCGGAAGAGGAGAGUGGAAUUCCUGGUGUAGCGGUGAAAUGCGCAGAUAUCAGGAAGAACACCCGUGGCGAAGGCGGCUCUCUGGGACGGUACUGACGCUGAGACGCGAAAGCGUGGGGAGCGAACAGG